ensembl:lncRNA
CAAUGUGCUCAUCUGAACUCAUAAAUGGCUUAUUGUCUGGCUGAAGAGCGGUGUGAAUAAUAAUGAACCACAUAGGGAGCAGGUUGGAAAAGUCCCCAGAUCGGUUCAUCUUGUCUGGUUCCAGCUGUGCUGCCCAAACAGCUCUGACCCACUGAGGCAUGGAUUCCACAAGACCUCUGAAGGUGUGCUGUGGUAUCUGGCACCAAGACGUUAACAGCAGAUACUUCAUGUCCUGUAAAUUGCGAGUUGUGGCCUCCAUGGAUCGGACUUGUUUGUCCAGCACAUCCCACAGAUGCUAGAUCAGAUUAAGAUCUGGGGAAUUUAGAGGCCGAGCCAACACCUUGAACUCUUAAUCAUGUUCCUCAAACCAUUCCUGAACAAUUCUUGCACUGUGGCAGGUUCAUUAUCCUGCUGAAAG